GAUACUGAGGGUUAGUGGACCAGGUCACAAACGGCACAAAUACAGCGUGUGCUCUCUGGUCAACCACCUCACGUACC
rnacentral:miRNA from 1 species